rnacentral:lncRNA from 1 species
UUGCUGAUGACGCGAGGACCUCAGCUUGCAAACUUUGCAAAUAUUUGAUUCUCUUGUUCCCAAGCGUGCUUCAGUGUGACUGGCCGCCCGGCAUUGUUGAUAGUGAAGUUUCGAUGGUUAUACUCCAAUCCCCGAUUCAUCCUGCGAUUUUCUCGUGUCAUAAUGGCCUUUCACCAGGACUCAAUCCAUGGACCUAAAAUUGUGACGGUUCGGGAAGCUAAUCGGUUCUGCUCUAAGAGUUCUCCACGGGGAGAGAAAUAAUGGACAAGUAUCCGGGAUCGAUACCGGGCGCACAACUUAAAAGUGAGCUUGGUCCAGAAGAUUCUACGAAAGAUAAACAUGAAUACAGAGCAGAUUUGUGUCAAGAUGGCAUCAUUCACAUCGGGUCCAAACUUGAUCAGCAUCAGCCAAUCACGUAUCUGCAAAAUGAAGAUGUCAAAUUAUUCGCCAGGAGUUGGGGCAACAUCGAUGAUCCAUUAGUGCAAAAGCCAUUAGUGCUUUUGGAGAGACUUGAUGCCAAAUUCAUGGACAGCCCAACGAGCCCUUUACCCGCUGAGCGCAAACACGUAACUUUGUCUUUGUUAAAAAACAUAAAAGUAGAAGAGGCAGAGGACGAUAAAUAUCCACCUAGAGAACAUUCGAGUAAGAUCGCUAUCAUCCACUUGGUUCCAAAAAAGGAAAUUGACAUCGAAUUUCCCAACAGGGUCGUGACAAACGAGCUGCCUGAUUCAAACGCCGAAGUUAAGUUACAACAUGAGCUUUUUUCCGACAGCACUGGAGAAUACUUUGACAAUGGUCAUCAAGAGAUUAGCACACAGGGCUCAUACAGUUUGAACAAUCCAAUUGUUGUCCUCGAAAACUUGAUCCAGAGUUGGUUCGCAGCCAUUUGA